rnacentral:ribozyme from 14 species
UUUCUUUUUUCUUUCUUUUCUUUUUCUUUUUUCUUUUUUAAGGGAAAGAAGAAAGAAAACAAAUAGAAAGGGU